CCGCCGGCGGAGUUUUUCCUGCUACAGUCCUCAAACUUUCCACCGGCUCCGAGGCUUCGCGGUUAACUCCUGUGGAAGCCGCCGACAGGCUGCCGGAGCGGGCCGAGGCGGUGAUCGGCGGCCCGGCGGACCUCUCCGCCCCCCGUGCCGGCUCCCCGUCCUCAGGAGCGCCGCCACUCGCCCUUGGCAACCACCUCCCGCCUCGGCCCCGCGGCCCGGUCGCGCCUGCUCCUUUAAAUAGCGGCCGCGGCCCCGCCGUGCGUCCCGCUGAGGCAGUUAGCGGGCGCCGCGUCGCCCUCGCCCCCCUCCAUGGAAGUUCAUGAAGUGGAUCAUGGUCUUAUUAGCCAGCUACUUGCUGAUUCAGAGGAGACUCUUAGUUCGUGCACAGAGAAAAUGCAGGGUCCUGCUCAAUAUAGCUGGAGUGCUGACUGGAGCUUUUGGCUCUCAAGUUCCACUUACAAAUAUAGGAGUGAGGAAUUCAAGAGACAGUUUUCUCAUCUGCCAGAUUCCGAGAGACUCAUAGUAGAUUAUGCCUGUGCACUCCAGAAGGAUAUCCUGCUGCAAGGACGUUUGUAUCUCUCUGAAAACUGGCUCUGUUUCCACAGCAACAUUUUCCGGUGGGAGACCACAAUUUCUAUUGCCUUGAAGGAUAUCACUUUCAUGACAAAGGAGAAGACUGCUCGGCUCAUUCCAAAUGCCAUACAAAUAGCAACAAAAGGAGAGAAGUUUUUCUUCACAUCAUUCAGUGCAAGAGACAGAAGCUACCUCAGUAUCUUCCGCUUAUGGCAGAAUGUGUUGCUAGAUAAGAGGCUGACCAAGCAGGAAUUCUGGCAGCUGGUGCACCAGAGCUAUGGCUCUGAGCUGGGCCUGAACAGCGAGGAGAUGGAGAGCUUCCACUCAUCGUCUGAGGACAACGGGCAGUCUCGAUCCAGCAUUUGUGAAGAUUCUGGAGAAAGGGAUGAAAAACUGCCUAAAAUGAUUGGUUUGGUUCGGGAACCCACACUUCAAACAGAAGGAGAGUCACUCAAUAGACACGCGUUGCCAGGAGUGGAGGAGUCCCCAGGUGAGAAGCAGGUAAAGAAGAGCCCUCUUCCAUCUUCAGAAAGAAAACCUGUUAAGCUGGUCAGGAGCAGGUCUUUAGAAAAGUCCUUGGACCUGAAUGAGAAUGAAGAUCUUCCAGAGAAAAGCAGUGCCUCAGAUAGCGAAGAAGCAGUGAAGGAGACUGUCUCUGAGAAUGAUCUCUAUGGGAGACUUUUUAUAAACAGAGUUUUCCAUAUCACUGCAGACAAGAUGUUUGAAAUACUUUUCACCAAUUCUCACUUCAUGCAGAGGUUUCUCAAUUCCAGGAGUAUAGUAGAUGCUGUAUCAACCCCUUGGAAUAGAGAUUCCAGUGGCAAUCAGUUGAGGACUUUGACAUACACUGUAACGAUUAACAAUCCACUUUGUGGGAAGUUCACAACUGCAACUGAAAAGCAGAUCCUGCAUAAGCAAAGCCAGAAAGGUCAAUCUUACCAGGUGGAUGCAGAGGUGCUGACCCAUGAUGUCCCCUACCAUGAUUAUUUCUACACUGUGAACAGAUACUGCAUCAGCCGCACAUCCAAUCACAAGUGUCGAUUACGGGUUUCUGCAGAAGUGAAGUACAAAAAACAGCCUUGGGGCCUUGUCAAGUCUGUAAUUGAGAAGAAUACCUGGGGAGGCAUACAGGAAAACUUCAAACAACUUGAAUCAGAUCUCCUAAUGGAGGAAUAUGCAAUUAAUCAGUCCAUAGAAGACACUGGAAAAUUAGUUGCCCUGAGACGAAGACGACGCACUUUACACCGGAGUCUGGCAGAAUCACUUCCCAAACGCUCUUCCCAGCACUCCUCUGGUGACAUGGGAGCGGAGUCCCAGGGCAGCAUGAUGGAAGCUGUUGAGCUAUUCUGUGUGAAAUGCUGGGCACUGACAUGUAUCUGCAGGCAUCCUUUAGGAAUGUUCUUCGCUACUUUUUAACCUCCUUCUCUUCCAUGCCUUGUAGGAAGGAAAAGAGAUGCUGUAAGUAGGACCACCACCAUCAUUGUAGUAAUGAGUGUCUUGUAAGUACUCAUUUGCAUUAAAAUGUGGCUUGACUCAAGUUCAUCUUGGUCUUUAUCUAUAUUUGUCUGUACCUCACUUGUAUGUUAAAAUUGCAUGUAGCAUAAUAAUUUGAAUGGAGCACUCAGGUAUAGGAGGGAAAUGGAUUGCCUUAAGUGACACAUGGAAUGAAAAUGCUGACUUGCCAAAGUAAUCUACCUUGCAAGUUUACUUAGGUCUGAUCCUAAAAAAACCCAAGCAGUCUAGGAUUUACUCAUUCCUAGUCUUAAAAGAUCCAGGAGAAGACACUGUUGUCAUUCCUAUUGGUUGCCAUUACACAGCUUAACGCUAACUGCUAAGAAUUCUUUGGACAGAUCUUUGUUUUCAGUAUAGUGCUGUCCUGCCACGCACGUUUUUUGGCUCUUGGAAGGAUUCUCUUUUCUUACAUGUUUUUAGCCAAGAUCUUGUUUCUGUAGCAUUGCAAGUGAAAUUGUUACAGGACUUGAUUUUUGUUCUUUUCUCUCUACAGCUUGCUGCUCUUGGUCUUGCUGAAUAUAACACUGUUCCUCAAACUGUCAAAGAUAGAGCAUGCAGCUCAGUCCCUCUAUCAUGUCCAACUUCAGGAAGAAAGCUCUUUGAACAUAUCCCCAGAAAUGGUAUCAAAAGAGGACAUCCCUCAAUAUGAUAAGGAACAGGUUAAACACAUGAAGGGAGUUUUAAGAGACUCAAUUGAAAUGCUUGAGCAGUUAAAGAGCUCCCUUUCCAUGCUCCAAAGAAGCUUUGACCACUUGAACAGGACACAGAGUGGCAAGACUGAGAGUUAAUACCCACAUGAGCUUGACGUUGGAAGAACAGAUGUGUGUGUGUGAGGACUUACGGGGUAGGGAUUGCAUAUGUCACCUUCGGACUCUUUACUAUUUGGCUGAAAAGCUGCACAGAAUAAAGGUUUCUGGAAGAAGCUCUGCAUUCC